GAGUUUGAUCGUGGCUCAGGACGAACGCUGGCGGUGUGCUUCACACAUGCAAGUCGAACGGGGUAGCAAUACCCAGUGGCGGACGGGUGAGUAACACGUGGGAAUCUACCAUAAGGUGGGGAAUAACAGGCCGAAAGGUCUGCUAAUGCCGCAUAUGUAGGCAUCUCGACAGAGGUGUUUAUGAAAGGAGUAAUCCGCCUUUUGAUGAGCCCGCGUCCGAUUAGCUAGUUGGUAGGGUAAAAGCCUACCAAGGCGACGAUCGGUAGGUGGUCUGAGAGGAUGAUCACCCACAAUGGGACUGAGACACGGCCCAUACUCCUACGGGAGGCAGCAGUGGGGAAUUUUACGCAAUGGGGGAAACCCUGACGUAGCGACACCGCGUGAGCGAAGAAGCCCUUUGGGGUGUAAAGCUCUGUCAACAGGAACGAAAUCAAUGACGGUACCUGUGGAGGAAGCAUCGGCUAACUACGUGCCAGCCGCCGCCGU
rnacentral:rRNA from 1 species